AUUGAACGCUGGCGGCAGGCUUAACACAUGCAAGUCGAGCGGGGGAGGUUGCUUCGGUAACUGACCUAGCGGCGGACGGGUGAGUAAUACUUAGGAAUCUGCCUAUUAAUGGGGGACAACAUCUCGAAAGGGAUGCUAAUACCGCAUACGCCCUACGGGGGAAAGCAGGGGAUCACUUGUGACCUUGCGUUAAUAGAUGAGCCUAAGUCGGAUUAGCUAGUUGGUGGGGUAAAGGCCUACCAAGGCGACGAUCUGUAGCGGGUCUGCGAGGAGGAUCUGGCACACUGGGACUGAGACACGGCCCAGACGCCUACGGGAGGCGGAGGUGGGGAAUAUUGGACAAUGGGGGGAACCCUGGUCCAGCCAUGCCGCGUGUGUGAAGAAGGCCUUAUGGUUGUAAAGCACUUUAAGCGAGGAGGAGGCUCUUUUGGUUAAUACCCAAGAUGAGUGGACGUUACUCGCAGAAUAAGCACCGGCUAACUCUGUGCCAGCCGCCGCAGUAACAC
rnacentral:rRNA from 1 species